UUAAGUAAUAAAACCCUUUCGAACUUAAAAAUAUACCAUUUUUUGGAGUACGUUAAAAAGGGGGUAUGACAUUGAUCAAAGAUGAAGCCUCUGAAAGAUCAGAAUCAACAAGAGUUAAUGCUAGACUUUUCGUAUCAAGAUAUAUAUAUAUUUUCUUCUAAUACAUUAAACAUUAGAUAUAUACCUUUGUUUGCUGUAUCUUUUGGCUUUAAAGUUGAAAGAAUAAUCAAUGACAUACUUUGCCGUCACAGAAAUUAAUGUUUUUCUGUCCUUAUGUAUUUGACCUUCCUUAACAUCUGAAUUCUUUUAAUCUGAAAUUAUUUUGUUCAUCGUAAUGUCGAUCAAAGACGAAGGUUUUGAAAUAUCAGAAUCAACAAGAGCUAAUGCUAGACUUUCCGUAUUAGUAGACUCUAAACACAUAACUGGCCCAGUUUCAUCCUCAAACAACAUCUUUGUUUCAUCUUUAUCGAUUGUACUUAUGCAUAGUGGAUACAUCCCGAAACUUGGAAUACUUUUCUUAACUUCGAUAUAUAGCUUCACCCCCAUAUCAUUACGAAUCAACAAUGGAGUUGAAUAGUUUCACCCUCAAACAUCUUCGUUUCAUCUUUAUCGAUUGUACUUAUGCAUAGUGGAUACAUCGCGAAACUUGGAAUACUUUUCUUAACUUUGAUAUAUAGCUUCACCCCCAUAUCAUUACGAAUCAACAAUGAAGCUGAAUUACCAUCAACAAUGUAUCGAGCUUCAAUUUUUUUCCUUUUUUCAUCAAUUUCAAGUAUUGCUGCAAUGACAGAAAUCAUUUUUUCGUACGUUACAUGUUCACCUAUUAUAGUGCCAUCACUCUUAUAUCCUUUGUACUUGACAUCAUCAACUCAAAUACCGAAAUGUCGUAAUCCACCGAUAUAUUCAUUGCAAAUUAUUGAAAAAUAAAAAAUUACAGUAAAUAAAAAAGAGAAAAACUAAGAAGAAUGACUUUGGAUGUUGAAUAUGGAGAUGAAUAUUUUUUUAAGAAAAAGCAUUAUUAACGAAAUUAUCUUUUUGGGAUAUUUAACUGUUAAUUAGAAGAUAUGAAGAGUUAAUUGUUUCUUAAUUUUGUUAAUUUUCAUAAUUAUGGCACAGUUGUUAAUUAAUAGGAUGUAUUAUUAAAUUUGUAUUUUUUUUAAUAUUAUGCAUCAGGAAAACUUAAAAUCGAGAUUUUACGGAAUUUUAAAAAAAAUCGAGAUGGGAUGUAAUUGUGGCUGAAGUAGACUAGAGCUAAGUUUUACUUAACAAAUAAAGACCAAAUUCGACUUUCGACCCAACGUCUGCGUAAUAUUUCUUGCCAAAAUCUCUCUGCGGUCUUCUCUUCUCCUCCAUCUCGGCGAUCUCCUGUCGGAAUCGAACUAAUUUGUUCUGGUUUCUGGUGAUUUCAUGGGAGAAUGGGUGGAGACUCCCAAAUGUUGGAAAUGGAGAUCAUUUAUCAAGGUGACAAUUCUCAUUCCUGUUCCCCGCAACAGUUUGUACGAUGAAUUCGUUGUAAGCGUAAUGCAGAGCGAGGAUCUAGAUUGCGCGCCGAGCAACGUGGUGAUUAGUUAUCUAAUGCAUUUGAGGGAAAAAGUGAAUCCUACGAUCAUAAAUAAUGAUGUACGUGUGCUAACGUACAUAAUGGAUGCCGAUGCAGAUGGCUUUAGGCCUAUUUUGAGGAUAAAUGUGGUUGAGAGGUCCUUUGAAGGACCGCUGAAUUCAUCACCACCCCCACCUCGGCGCCCGGUAGUUGACGACGAUUUGAAUGAUUACGAGAACGAUGGCGAUCAUCCAAUUAAUAUGGAAGAUGAUUCUAUGCAUAUGGAAGAUGAUAAAUAAGACUGUGGAAUAAGAUCACAACCAGGACACUCAUUCACCGAUGGAACCAAUUUCUAUUGUAGUCAAACAUUCGCCGAUAAGAAAGAGCUGAAAAUGCUACUAGACGCAGCAGCGGCGAGGUAGUCUUUUGAUUAUUAUAUGGAGAAGAGUUGCAUCAAAUUCAUGAAAGCGAAAUGCUUAUCUCGUGGUUGUGGUUGGUUGUUGCGGGAAAAAAAGUACGACACCUUGCAGAAGAAGCUUUCUUGGUAGGAUUGUUGUUAGAAGAAAGCUUCUUCGUUUUUUGCUUAUUUUGGUUGUUCUGGCCGCUGUGCCAAUAUUUUCCAUGUAAAAUUUCUAUUAUUGUGCAAUGAACAAAUUUUAAUAUAAGUAUUUCUAUUUUCAAA